AUUGAACGCUGGCGGCAUGCCUUACACAUGCAAGUCGAACGGCAGCACGGGUGCUUGCACCUGGUGGCGAGUGGCGAACGGGUGAGUAAUACAUCGGAACAUGUCCUGUAGUGGGGGAUAGCCCGGCGAAAGCCGGAUUAAUACCGCAUACGAUCUACGGAUGAAAGCGGGGGACCUUCGGGCCUCGCGCUAUAGGGUCGGCCGAUGGCUGAUUAGCUAGUUGGUGGGGUAAAGGCCUACCAAGGCGACGAUCAGUAGCUGGUCUGAGAGGACGACCAGCCACACUGGGACUGGGACACGGCCCAGACUCCUACGGGAGGCAGCAGUGGGGAAUUUUGGACAAUGGGCGAAAGCCUGAUCCAGCAAUGCCGCGUGUGUGAAGAAGGCCUUCGGGUUGUAAAGCACUUUUGUCCGGAAAGAAAUCCUUGGCUCUAAUACAGUCGGGGGAUGACGGUACCGGAAGAAUAAGCACCGGCUAACUACGUG
rnacentral:rRNA from 1 species